GACAGAGGGUGCGAACGUUGUUCGGAAUUACUGGGCGUAAAGCGCAUGUAGGCGGCAGCGCAAGUCGGGCGUGAAAUCCCACGGCUCAACCGUGGAAGUGCACUCGAAACUGCGCAGCUAGAGUCCUGGAGAGGAAGGUGGAAUGCUUGGUGUAGAGGUGAAAUUCGUAGAUAUCAAGCGGAACACCGGUGGCGAAGGCGGCCAUCUGGACGGCUAUUGACGCUGAGACGCGAAAGCGUGGGGAGCAAACAGGG
rnacentral:rRNA from 1 species